GGUGACGGUGCCGCGUCCGGGGACGUCGUCGAGCGUGAUGGUCUUGAGGAAGAACUCGGACGUGUGGUUGUUCUUGACGAUGACCGCCCCCGGCACGCCCAGCUUCGCCACCUCCCAGUCGAACGUGACGCCGAACUUGGACUCGCCGGUCGUCACCGACGGCAGGCUCGUCAGCCACUGCUCCAGGUUCGCCUCCGCCCCGACACGCCCGCGGUUGCCGUUGUCUGCACAGCACGGUAGGAUAGCCCAUGUGGUGGGCGAUCGAUCGAUGAUGAGUCGUCGAUCGAGAUGAUAUGGUUCGUAUACGCGUGUCGGGCAUGCAUGCACGAGUAUAGUACAUCUAGUAAAGAGUAAACUAUUGAUAAAGAAUCUAGUUCAAUUGUUCAAAGUAGAAAUCAUCGUGUGUCUGAUCUCUUGUUACUACUGUGGUGGUCCUUUUUUCUACUUUGUCACGAGGUAGCCAGCAUCUGGUGCUCUGCACCUUCGCUGUCUUUUUCUCGGUGUUUCUAUCACGAUUCCUUUGGGUUUUUUUUCCCCCAUGUUCCGUCAAAAUGGAUGACCGAGGGCCGAGGCAAGGUAGCUGAAGCAGGGGAAAAUGCUUGUUGGUGCUUGCUUGCUUUGUAUGUGCGGGGAAAAUGCACGCACAGAAGGUAAAAGUAACCGAUCGAGACUGCCUGCUAGAGAGAUCGAUCAAUCAGGGAAGGCGGAGAUCAGAGAGGCGCGCGCCGGCCGGCUGUCGGCCGUCGCCGGCGGCGGCGGAGCUAGCGGUGUACUCACUGGCGUCGACGAGGGUGGAGCUGAUGAGCUGGCAGGUGACCCCCUUGCCGAGGAACUCGCUGAUGCCGUCGAUGACGGUGGCGCCGAGGUCGUUGAGGUCGAGUACGUUCUUGCGCAUGAGCACCACCGUGCCCUUGAGCCGCGCAUGCUUGUUCGCCCCCGUCAGCCCAUCGAUGAUCCCGCCCAGCAGCAUCUUCACCGGCCAAUCACCACCACGUACUACUGCUACUCCAACUAGCUCUGCUCUGCUCUCUCUCCCCCUGCCCUGCCGCCUUUUUAUGUUUUUGCAGUGGUGUUGCUGGCUGUGAGACUGAUGGAGGCCGAAGCCAAGCCGGCCGGGGGAUUUAUAGAGCGAGCGUGACGGAACGGAGCGCGAGCACAGUGCACCGAUCGACCACGGCUGCGUGACGUGCCCGUGCAAGGACAGACAGUGAGCAUGUGCUACCGUGUGUGUGAGAGCGUGAUUGAUGCGGUUUGAUUAUUGGGCCAGAUGGGACGUGAAUGGUGAGUGGUGCAGGAUGCGCCUGUGCGUGCGUGCGUGCGUGUACCUGCGCCGUCGGCCUCUUCCGCUCGUCGCUUCGUCCCGCCGCGUAGCAUGUAGCAUAGGCAACGCCGUACAUAUGGGGCCACCGGCCCCGCCCCGACGGCGACGUGCCAGCGCCGAUCGACUCGUGUUGCGCGUGUCGGCCAGUCUGAAUGGAUUUUCAUAGUGUCAUGCAUAUUUAAUAAGGUGCCACAUCAUCAGAUCUACAUUUUUUACAUGAAACGAAGAGGAGAGAGAAGAUAUUCGUUUCAUCCCCACGACACGAGCUGAGCAGCGUUACCAAAGCCGUGAAACGCGACGAAACUCCCAUUGAGAGGCUCCUUUCGUUUCAUCGAGUCCGAUUUUCUUCUUCGUUCGUGCAUGCAUCACGGUGGACGCCGGCCAGAGGACCUUCGUUGCGGACGUGACCUCCGUCACGGGAGCCGGCCGCGGGAGGGGAAGCCAACUGCGACCUCCGUCGCGGGUGCCGUCGUUGUGGUGCGGAGCCGCCUCCGUCACUGUCGCGAGCGAGACUACCUCCGCCACUGCGAAAUCCUCUGUCCGCUAUUGGAGCAGUCGUGUCACGGUUGCCUCUGUCGCCAACAGGUCCUCCGCCUCGCCGGCGUUGGACGCGCAGGCUCUGCCUCCGCCGGACGCGCGAGCUCCGCCUCCGCCUGACGCGCAGGCUAGCUCCGCCUCCGCCGGACGCGCGGGCUCUGCCUUCACCGGACAUGCGAGCCGGACGUACAGGCUCCACGUCUGCCAGACGCGAGCUCCGCCUUUGCCGGACACGCGAGCUCCGCCUCCGCCUCACACGCGGGCUGGCUCUGCCUCCGCUUUCACCGGACAUGCGAGUUCGUCAAGCCACAGUGACGAGAAGGAUGCGGCCUCCACUCCAUGCUCGGCCAGAUCCAUGGGAGUCGCGGUGACAAGAAUGAUGCGAGGAAGAGAGAGAUGAUAGGGACAGGUGGGACCCGUGAAUAAUAAAAUAAACCAUGAAAUCGUCUUAUGAAAUUUUGCAUUGUGGAAAAGAUCUAUUUCAUGUUAAAGUUUUAUAUAUUGGAAACUGGGAGAUGAAACUCUCCAUUGAGACUGGCCUAAAUCAAUGAAUCUAGGUCCGCGCCAUUCCAUUCGAUGAGCCUUACCAGUUAUUACAAAGAUAAAUUUCUUUUUUCACUUGUGCCGGACCAGUUCCUUUUGUGUUCCCUUCCUAUGGGGUAAUUUUUAUCGUGGCCUAGAUCGGCCAGUUCAAAGUUCUUUUUUUGUUUUCAGAUAGCAACAAAGUUUGCUAGAGAUAUAUGUAUAGACAACAGGAUAGAAGCGCCUUGUUGUAUGCGAUAUAUAACAAUAAAGUUUGCUAGAGAUAUAAAGAAAGUUCUUUUCGAAAAGCAAGAAUGACAGUUAUUUUGGGAUAGAGGGAGUACACUCCGAAUUCAAAAACUAUGUGUGAGGCAUUGUUUAGUUACAUCCGAAAUUUAAAAACGUUUUAAGAUUCUUCGUCACAUUGAAUUUUGUUGCAUAUGCAUGGAACAUUAAAUAUAGACAAAAAAUAACUAAUUGUAUAGUUUACCUAUAAUUUACGAGACGAAUCUUUUGAGUUUAGUUAGUUUAUGGUUGGACAAUAAUUAUCGAAUACAAAUGCAAAAUGAUAUAGUAACCAAAAACUUUUGAGCAACUAGGAAAUUAAACAAUGCCUCGUUGAAGAAUAGUUUCAUGCAAAAGAUAGCAUGUGUGUGUGAGAGCGUAAUCAAUGCGGUUCGGGCCUUGUUUACUUCGCGAAAUUUUCUAAACUUUGACCACUAUAACACUUUUGUUUAUAUUUAAUAAAUUAUUUUCUAAAUAUAUAUUAAUUAGGCUAAAAAAUUUAUCAAAUAAAUUAUAGAAAAACUGUAUAAUUAGUUUUUUAUUAUCUAUAUUUAAUAUUUUAUAUAUGCGAUUAAAAAUUUUAUGUGAUGAGAAAUUUUGAAAAUUUUAGAUAUUAGGCCGGAGAAACGUGAAUGGUGUAUGGAUGCGCCUGCGUGUACCUACGCCGUCGGCCUUCGUCCCGCCGCGGCUCGGUUGGCCGUACGUAUGGGGCCAUCGGCCCCGACGGCGACGUGCCAGCACAGCACCGACUCGUGUUGCGCGUGUCAUAGUACACAGUUACCAACGACUAUGAUUGGUGUUCACUGUUCACGGGACCGGCUCGCGCGCGCGGACGCGGCCGGCCGGCAGUCCGUGUGUGCGCAUGCGGCUCGCGGGCCGCGAGAUCAGCAAAAGGCGCGGCAAUAAUACAAUGCAGCAUGUACAUGUUCAGCAUUGCUUAUCUGGAUCAUCUAAAUGUGCUCUGAGAUUCGUGUUGCUGCACUUCUCUCAACUGUGUUCACACUUCUCUCCAUUGUUUCACAUAUUUCGAUGCAUAUUCAACGGUGUAGAUAGAAAAAUCUAAUAUGAUUUUCAUAUUUUCAAAUUCAAUAACUUAAAAGUUAUUAAUAAUUUAUAUUCUCAAUGUUUGAUCUAAAUUUUGUUUAAAACAACUUUUUUAUAAGUGUGGAGGGAAUAUGCAACGGUAUUUUUUUUACAUAUGGACACCCCACUCCUAAUAGGAUAUUAAUAAUAAUUUCUAUCUCCAUUAAAUAAGAUGAUAUCUAAGCAAAAUGCUAAUAUGCUAGCUCAAUCAAUGAGAAAAGAGGAAACCGUUCCUUAAAAGGAAAACGACGUCUACACUUGACCCGAUGCGCAAAGAAAUUGUGAUAUCGCUGUUAGGGAAAAAACAACCGGUUUCUACAGGUGGGGCCUGUGCUCGCUCCGCUCGCUACCAUGGGAUCUCGCCGGAGUUGCCGCGCUGGCUGUGCCCGUGCGUUGCCGCUAAAACUCGUCGGAGCUGCCUCGUUCGCGUGCGCCACUUCGUUGUCCGUUGGAGUCACCUUGCUCACGCACGCUGCUGACCUCCAUGGAACUCGUCGGAGAUGCCUCGCUUGCGUGCCUCGCCACGUUGGAACACGCUACCGCGGGGAGUAGCCGAAGCCGCCACGUCGGGCUCGCUCACUCGUGCUAGCCUCACUUUCUGUAGCUCCAAAAAUAAGCUCAAACCAUUCCUAAUGGAGAUAUAUCAAAAUUCUUUCCUGAACCAUGACAUUGUCAGUUUUCCCUACUAAGAUUUUUAUUCCAAUACAAGCAUUGUCCAUAGACCAUAGCUAAGCAUUUAAUCAAUCAAUGAUAUGGAAAAUGGAUAUUAGAUUUGUUGAUUGCAAAUCUAGCAGCAAGUUUAAAUUAUAAUAGUUAAAAUUAUUAGCUAAUUAUCGAUCAAAGAUUUUAGAAAUUUAAAAUUUAGAUAUGCUUGUGCGUCUUGUAAAAGAUGGAGGAGGGACUAUCGCACAAGUUGUACACUUAUGCUGCUAUUUACUCCUCACUCUUUUGAGUGUCAUUAUCAAAAAAAAAUCUCCUAGAAUCAUCCAAAAUCUAAGCAUUUUAAGCUUUACCAAGUUUGUUAGAAAGAGCAAUAACAUCUAUCAUAUCAAACAAGUAUCCUACAAAAAUAUAUUUUACGAUGUAUAGUGAUACUAAUUUAUUCUUAUAAAAUAUUGAUGUAUAUUUGAUUAAACUCCAAACAAUUUGAUUACUUCAGACAGACAGGCAUCUUUAGUUAAGUUUUGACACAAAUUGGCACGAGCGGCGAGCGCUACCUUUUGUUAAGAGUGCAGGACCAAGUUUAGAAGCCCAUUUCUCAAAAACCAGCAGAUGUACGCUUUCCGUAGCGAGACUACAGGAAACAACUGAAGGAAGGCAAGAAACGGGGUUGGCACAUGUUUUUCACUCGUAGCGAUAGCGACGGCCGUACUCAGCAGCCCGUGUCAGAUCAUUUCAGCAGCAAAUGGUCGGUCGUCCUUGGUGUGUGUUGGUUGAGAAAACGUACGUGACGAGCCCAUCAGGAAAGGAGACUCGAUCUUUCCCCGGAUCCAGCUCGCCCACGGACUCACGGUGAUGUAGUAAUACGUACUAGCCUUAUCGGAUCUACUACCAUUAUUAUUUUAUCGUCUUAGCAGCCAUCGUUAUUCUAUUCUUGCAAGGAAUCUCAAUUGUGAAUUCCGCUCUAUAAUCUAGUACCAGCUUGAUGCCUACUAUAAUAUGUGAAAUUAUAAAAAGCAUCUCACCAAAUAUGCCUACUAUAAUAUCUUCUGCCAAAUUGGACAAUUAAUUUGACCAACCCCGUCUUGCAUGAUUUUUGAAUGAUGAUUGACUUGUACAAUACAUGCCACUAUAUAUUGUACAUUAGUACUAAGGCUUUGUUUAGUUUGCAAAAAUUUUUAAGAUUCUCCGUCACAUCAAAUCUUUGGUCGCAUGCAUAAAGCAUUAAAUAUAGAUGAAAAUAAAAACUAAUUGCACAGUUUAUAUAUAAUUUGUGAGAUAAAUCUUUUGAGCCUAGUUACUCCUUGUUUGGACAAUGUUUGUCAAAUAAAAACGAAAGCGCUAUAGUAGCCAAAAACGAAUUUUUUUUGCGAACUAAACAAGGCCUAAAACACAAGUUGAUGAUCUCUUAAUUAACAUUACAUGGAAACAAAACUAAUUUCGGUACAAAACCGAUGGAGAAAUACAAACUACUGACAUGAAAACUGAAAAAAAGAAUUGAAUUAUUAAUAGAUUACUUUCCAAUUCCUCUCAAUUUAUUGCAUAUAUAUAUUAGUAAGAAGAGAUUGGAGAAGCCCUAGAUGUGCCAACACACACAAAAUAGUUUUGGAUAAUUCAUUUGUUCGUAAAAUCCUUCAAUUCAUUUAACACAUCAUAAUUUAGGCUAGAUUCGAAUGACAUGUCAAGCAUAUAACAAUUAAUGGAUUUCUAAAUGGAAUUCACACUGUAUGUUGGAAUGGAAUCAGGUCGAUCUAUCAUUACAUAUAUUAUACAAAUAUAUGAUAUCUACAUAAAUAAUAAUACACUAGUGCAACAAACUAGGCCACUAUUUUUGGUUGUUGAGUUAAUAGCAGUAAAAUGCUUCACCCAUUUGCUGACUACAUGAAAACUCAAGAAUACAAAGAUUAAGUGCAAGAGAUAUACAUUUAAAAAGAGUACUUACCUGUACGUUUCGCUGAAAUUUAAAUGUUGUAAAAGAGAAAACACACUGCAGAAUAGGACGGUAGUACGAAAUGGUUAAACUGAAUGGAUAUAAGAUGAAAGAGUGCAUGUGAAAUAGUAGUGAAUUCUAUAUUUCCAUAACCACAACAGAGAUGCAUCGUGUUAGUUUCAGUAAAACAGAUAGCUAGAUACAUAAGACGGCGGGGUAGAUACACACUGUUAGUUUUAGUCAAACAAGUACUAAUCGCUCGAUCCCCUUUCGUUGUCGAUAUGCAUUUCUUUAUGGCGGAUGCUUGUGUACCGAUUGUUAUUAUAAGCAGCACGCGAUGCACGACUCCGACUCGACAAGGGACCCUCUUUUCAUUGGCGUGUCCUCUCUAUUAUUAUCGGUCCCGGCAGGCCGCCCUCUGCAUCGAUCACGUAGCACAUGGAUACAUGUAUCACGUACGGGGAUGAUGGCAGUCUGGCAGAUAUUUCAUAUAGGUCCACAUGCAUGAGAUGCAUGCAUCCCACGCCCUAGCAAAGUUAACUUGCAUGAUGUAUGCGUGGUACUGGUAUAAGUUAACUUGCUAGCUGAGAACUGCUGGGAAUGUCUGGUUGAUGACUUUCUUUUAUAGUGGUUAUAAUGCAACCUACGCAUCACAUGGUUGCUCGUAUUUUUUUUUAUUUGGAUGGAGAUUUAGCGGUGUUAUUCUUUCAAUAACAGGUGAUGUGUUCAUCUACAUCAAUGCGUUUGGCUUUGCACCUGCAUUUGUACAAUUGGUAAUUUUAAUACAGAUUAGGUAGAGGCCUCCCUUCCCGACUUUCUAAAAAAACGUCAAGGCAUUUGUAAUGACUUUGUUAAUUUUAAGGUUAGACUUUUGAAGAUGCUCAUAGAGAUAGAAUGUAGUACUACUAUUUUUUUGUUAAAAUUAUUAGCUAAUUCUUUAGUCCACUAGUAAUUAGCUAAACCUAGCUAAUUAAGACUAACAGGAAAAUUUAAAACGUACCUCCUGUUGGUAUGCUGCGGGCCAAGAGGCAGAAACGUUUUUGUGUGAGAAUAGUACUAUCUAGUUUUUUUUUUGAACUUUUAGGGUGAAACUCUGUUUUUAUAGAAAACAAGAGAAUAUUAGUACUAUCUAUUGGCCCUUGAAUCCAAAUAGCGCAUGCACUCUUCUCGUUUCGUGUGGAUUCAAACCUUUUAAAGAUUGAUCAGAUAUAUAUAAAAAAAAUAUUAAUAUUUAUGAUGUACAAUAAUUAGGUUAAGUUUAGAGUAUACUUACACAAUAUACUUAUUUGGAGAUACAAAUAUUGAUAUGUUUUUGUUAAUCCUUAUCCAUCCAAAGGAUCUUAAGUAAUUUAAACUUUAGUCCUUCCAAGUAGUAGACUAACAAUUCGUUCUAGUUCUUUAUAAAAAAAAAGUUCCAGUUGUUAAAUAGACCCUAAAUCUAGCAUGGCACUUUGCUGAUUUUUGUCGUUUAUGAUCAUUGCAUUUUAGUACUGGAAUAUCAGCUGCACCUAUCAUCAUUACAUAACAGCGAUUGCGCCUUAUCUCUCUUAGCGAAUCAAUUGCGCGCACAAUUAUGUGGUUGUUACACUUGCCAACCCGUCAACAUUCUACAUUUCUAUUACUACCUGCCACGAUCAUAUAGUUGCUUGGUUCCCAUAUGAGAAGUCGGUAACACCGUUUCCAGAGUCCAAGCAUGAACUAAAGAAGCAAGUAAGUAAAAAUAGGCUGACUUUUAGAAGCAAGAGCAUCUCCAACAACUUGGUAAAAUUCACUUGUCAAAUCUUGAGUUAUAGCAAGUUGCUAAUUUGUUUAGCAAAAGAAAAAAGGAUGUGUCUCCAAUAAGUUGCUAUUCUCACUUGGUAAAAAUAGAGGAUGACAGAUGGGACCCGCUCACUUGGUAAAAGAAUAUGUGUCUCCAACAAGUUGCGCUCGGGAUAGCAACUUGAGAUAGCAACUUGACAAAUCUCGGCAGUAGAAACCUCUGGAUAGCAACUUGGGAAAUUUAGCAAGUUGAGAUAAGGAGUUGUUGGAGGAGGAUUUUUAUGCUUUUAGCAAAUUUGGUAGGAUAGUAUGUUGAAAUACCAAGUUGUUGGAGAUGCUCUAAUAUACUUCUUAAAAUUUGACACACUUAAAUUGUAAUAUGUAUUUUCCUAGGACGGUCCAGCUUGUUAGGUCAACCUCUUUCAACGUUCGAUAGAAGCGUGUUGUAUGUUUGUUUAAACUCUUCUACUUGAUACAAUGAUAUGCAAAACUUUUACAUAUUCAAAAAAAAUGCAAUUUAUAGGUGACUAAAAAAAGUCAUAGUGAAAGAUCAAGUUGUAUGAGGCGCGGUAAGAGUAGACAAGCCAGAAGACAACAGAAGAUAAAUAAAAAAAAAGAAUAGUAAAACCUUCCUCUUGUGGAAGAAAACAACAGAAGAAAACACGAGUCUAUUUGAUUUAGUUAUGAGCUACGAAAAAGUAGGUGGAGAUUAUGUGCUAUAGAAAAAAUUAUAAGUUGUAUAGUUUAAACAACUAUAAAACAUACUCUCUUUAUCUCUCUUCAAAUCAAACAGUAGUAAAACAUCUCUUUAUUUCCACCUAGUUGGAAAAAGCAAAAAAAAAAAAGGCCUAAGGUGCAAUUAAAAUUGUACUGUAUGAAAACAGUUGCUUUUGAAAAAGCGACUUGUGAUUUUAUUUGUUUGAUUGGCAUUCCACUUUUUAACAAAAGCAAUUUUCAGAAACUAAAUCAAACACAGCCUAAGUAGCUUGGACAGGUUGAUGAUUUGAACACUAACAAGAGUGAAAGACAGCUUCAUCGAGAAUUCCCCGAGGAUUUUAGCAAUAACAAACUAUCUUACUUACAAACAAAGCAGGUUCACAAAUGACAUGUAAUACUUUCACCAGACAAUUAUCAUCCGGUACGACUUUUGUUCUCAACGGCAAUGCCAUUUGACAAUACAUACAUACAUACAUUUAAACCAAAGUUUGUGCUUAUACUUACAACAAUCCGGAUUGUACAAUAUACACAUCAAACAAUAACCAUCAUCGAGCACCAAUGUCUUAACAUAUGCCACUGAUCUGAAAUCUGAAUCUACCCCCCUGCGCGUUGCUGCUCCCACCUCAGGUCCUCGGAGUACUCCAUCAUGGCAGCCCUCGGAUCACCUUCAGUAACAGAUAAGUAGUACGCAGCAGUCCCAUCGUCGACGUGCAGGCUCCGCCUCACCGACUCGAGAAUCCUUUUGCUUCGCCUCUCUGCAGCAACAAUGCUUGCCACGGAUUCAGUUUUGCCACCUGGGCGUCCCUCAGGGUAAAAGAUUGCAACCUCUCUCUUGGCGUUAUGGUCCAUCUCGAUGUAGCAGGUGCUGCCCAUAAGGAUUUCUGGGUUGCUGAUCGGAAUCAGAAGCCUCUCCCUCGAGUAGAUGCCAUGAUCACUCAUCAUGUUGUUGAAUCGUUUGAUAUCUGUCACCUGCAUGCAAUUCAACAAGCAUGAAAUUGCAGUCUCAUGAAGAAUAGAAAAGACAGCUAGCAUUUGCCGAGCUCCUUUGCGGAGAGGGUCCUUUAUAGUAGAUGACCCGUUAGACAACUUUUGGUAGGGUAAAUGGUUUUUUAUUGCAGUUGCAUUAAGCAUAUGAUUAUGCUGAGUAAUCCUGCAGUAGUCACUAAAUAUGUCCAUCCCUUCAAUAGUGCAGUGCAUCUAAUAAACAUUUUAUUUUCAAAAAGCUAUCAAACUAACACAAUCCUGGGCAUAAGCAUGUUGUAAGAAGUGAGACCAUGAUAAUUUAAACACCAGUAGUGCUUUUCGAAUUUGAUAUGUAUAAUAAUAUAUACAUAAAGCUGAUAAAAAUUUAUUGAAGCACUAUAUCAGGAAACUUUAGCCUCAUCCAACAGAAAACAGAUCCUAAAAACAGGAUGCCAGGUGUUAGGAUCUGACCUGGCAUCCUGUUCUUAAUAUGUAUGAAGUCUGAUACGUAUCAACACAAAAAGCUUUUGAUAAUAAGAACUUUUAUCCAAAACUUAACAUCUGUCUGAAGUCUGAUCCCUCAACAGCAAAGUCAGAUGCAGCAAGCUAAGUAGAUACCUACCUGAUGUGAGCCUAACCACCUAAAACUCUGUUUGGAUAGAUAUAAAAAAAAAUAGGGAUAACCAAAAAUCCAGUUAAAAAAACAAAAUUGAUCCCUACCUGCUUUUUUAGAAACCAACUCCUGUACCUCAUGUUCUGUGCCAUGUGCUUUGCUUUCUUUCGUCUUACGUCAUGUGCUUAACAAAGUAUGAACCAUAAUCCAUACUACUUCCCUAAUGUCUAAUCAAUUGUUAAAUUGGAAGAAAAGUGAUUUGGUGCUAUGUAAUGGCGUCAGAGAAUACUUGUUUUAGUUUACGAAACCCAAACAAAGUAAUCCAUAAACCUGGACCUACCUAACUAACAACCUAAAACCAAUUUUCCUAAAAAUCCUAAAAAAACAACCUGUUUCGUGAAAACAAUCAAACAUACACAUAAUCAAUGUGUCCAAACAACCACCUAAGUGACUACCAGAAACUCAUGACAAUAGCUUCAAACACACCGUGACACAGUACAACAGCUAUAAGUGCAGUUCUUAGUAGUUACAAUACUGAUGUCCAACCCACAGGCAGAGAACUUUCUUAAUCUAAUAAAAUCCUAUAGUUUUUAUUCCAGAGUAUUGACAUUAUAUAGAGAGACUAAAAAGCCACCACCUUCAAUACUAGAGUAAUUGCAAGUACCCAGUAACCCAGUGGUGACUGGUGAGAACAAGACUCCUUACAGACACAGUGACCAUACUCGAUGCUGAAAAUGAUAUAGAUCCCUCUCCCUUCUCAUCUCUGCUCAACAAAACCACUAACAAUGACAUAGCAAACUUCCCCUGCUCCAACCCCAUUGCUUCAUUCCCCCAAUGAAUCAUGGUUGUAUUUAUCUGCCACAUAAAACUCCUGACCACUAUUGCCAUAUCAUCAAAUCUCAAUUGGAGCACCUCUUCAUUUACUUCAAAGGACAAAAGUGCAGCAUGAAAAACAAUGUACUCUACACAAGUACUAACCUACACUUGUGAAGAGGCAUCAAAAUGACAGAUCUUAAACUACACAGAUGCACUACCUUCAUUCAAACUAUAGUUAGCUUCAGUCUCAUCCUUUUCAUAAGUCAAACUUCUAAACUUUGACAGGGUUGAUAGAAAAAUGCAUCAACAUCUAUAUAGUAUCGAAUUAGUUUCAAUAAAUUAUCAAUUGAAUAUGUGUUGAACUAUUCAUGGUGCAUUUAUUUGAACUUGUGGAUGUUAAGUUAUUAAUUAAUUUAGACUCAGACAAGGCUAAAAUGAACUAUAAUUUGGAAGAAAGGGAGUAAGUAUUUGAUUGAUGAGAUCUCUUCAUUGAUCAUAAGUUGGCGGAUGUUGUUACACGCUUUGCACGUACCUACAAAUUAUUAACAGAUUUGUUCAUUUCCUUCUAGGAUACUUGUUCAACAACCACCGAUGACCAACUAGUGAUUAAUUUUGAGUUUUUGACUAGCUCCAUCUUCCUAUGAUGAUAAAAAUAAGCCUAACAUUCCUUGUGGAAAUACCCCAGAUUAUCUACUCGCAUUUCCAUAUACUCUCUCUAAGGUUCAGUCUGAAUUAAUGCUGCUAUGGAGCACACACAAGCGAUCAAAUCUUAAUGCAUAUGAUCUGCUGCCACAGAAUGUUUAGGGGCGAUCAAAACCAGAUUCAUUUGAGGACUAUAGGCGCUUCGACAAGUUGGAUACCCUCAGCAAACAAUAGGUCGAUCGCCACAUCGUUGGAACGAGCGCACACGAUACAGAACACGCACCUGCACGGAGUACUUGAGAGCGACGCCGGGGACGGUAUCCCCGCGGCGGACGGCGUGCGACAGCGCGAAUCUCCCGAGGCAGGCGGUCCGCCAGAAGGCCCCCGUCGCCGGCUCGCCGACGACGCGCCGCACGCCCCAGGGCGCGCAGAAGGCGGCCUCGACCACGGCGCGGUCGGAGGCGACCGCGCGCCACGCGCGGCAGACGCAAGCGGACCGCGCGAGGUCAAUCGGCGGCAGCCUCUGAAGCACGGCGCGAAGCAGGUCCGCCGGGAGGCGCGCGUCCAUCGAGCCCGCGGACGGAUCGGGCUCGGGGCUCGGCGGAUCGGCCGGGGAGGAGGCGUCGGGACCCCCGCCUGCGCCGUCGCCUACGGCGCGCGAGUCCAUGGCUUCGAGAGACUCGUGUGCUGUGGCUGGCGUUGGGGCCGCGUGGAUGGAGUCGGGUGACGGACGAAAUGGGAGGUUGGAAACGGCGCGGCGGAGGCGGACUCGAGCGGCCGUCGGGCCGUCUGGACCAUGUGGGGUCGGAGAGCUUCCUGCACGAACUGGGCUCACUUCUCCAUCCAAAUUUAAAGUGGGGCUCGUAUGGGCCAGAUGGGCUCAUUUGCUCCAUCCAAAUUCUACAUGGGCCUGGCCAUCUUCACCCUUCACCACCGAAGCUUCUAGGAACCCGACCGGGCACCGGCCGGCCGCAAUCCGACGAGAGAAGGAAUUCGAGUCACGAAUCCGGAUAGAGCGCCGCCCCACUCCGCCGCGCCGGCCCCGCUCGCUGCCGCCUCGAGCAGAGAGAGAGAGAGAGAGAGAGAGGCUAGGAGAGAAGGAAGCAUGACGACGAUCCGCCGGUUCUGCUGCGACGACCUCCUCCGCUUCGCCUCCGUCAACCUGGACCACCUCACCGAGACGGUGCGCCACCGACGCGUCUCCCCCCUCUCUUUCCUUUAUUCGAGCGCAUCCCCUCUCUGAUCUCACGAUUCGGUCGCCGCAGUUCAACAUGUCGUUCUACAUGACGUACCUGGCGCGCUGGCCCGACUACUUCCACGCCGCCGUCAACCCUGGCGGCCGCGUCAUGGGUUACAGUAUGUCUCUCAUACCCCUGCACCUUGCUUGUUUCGGCAUCCCGGUCCUCUCAUAUAUUCUCGGAUAGUUGUGUGCUGUUAGUGUGUUUGCAUCUUUGCUUGGCAAAUUAAAAUUAGCUAAACAUGUAGAGUGCAAACCCUGGAUGCUAGUUUGAGUGUUCAGACAUGUGUGGUGUUAAGGCGCUGGAUAAUCGUCUUCUGCAAUGUUUUUUUAUGCAUUACACAAUUAGUCAUAUGUAGAUGCUGCCUGGUGCAAUCCAUGGUUUGUGUUCUCCAAGUAGGCAUUGUUUUAGGACUUAGGAGUGCAAAGUGUACUUACUGGGAUUUGCAAUGUUGGUUCAUAAAAUGAGUGUGAAAUCUGAAAUGACUGGUGAAGUAGCAAUAGGAUGACUGGUUAACUCACUAUUGCCUCCUUGUCAAAAAAAAAAAAAAAAAAAAACUCACUAUUGCCUCUUUUGUUUUUAAUCUUGAAUGGUGAGCAUCAAAAUUAGAGGUUUAUCCCCUUCUGAAGCAUAUAAUGCAAUAUUAUUCUGCGUGUUCCAUUUCUUUCUUUUGCCUUUAUUUAGUUUAGGGGAAGUAAGCUAGAAAUAUUUUGCAGUCAUGGGUAAAGUUGAAGGGCAAGGUGAAUCUUGGCAUGGACAUGUCACAGCGGUGUCAGUUGCCUCUGAAUUUCGGAGGCAGAAGUUAGCCAAGAAGCUUAUGAACUUACUGGAGGAAAUCAGCGAUAAGAUGUAAGUAACAUCUUUCUGUUUCUCCUUCUGAUUUAGUUCCUAUGAUAUCUGUUUUCCCCUUUAUUAUGGAUACGGAGUUCUUGUGCUAUUAUUGUAUUUUCACAAUGUAUGAUUGUUGUAAUCUUAAUUGUUGUUUGUUGAGUUUAUAGUUCAUGACAUGCUAAUAGUUCAUAUAAUCUGUUCUCUCCAGAUAUUUCAUAUUUUUUUCCUAUCUUAAUGCUCUGGCAAUCUUAAGGAAAAAUCCCAUUGUCUUGGAUUCACACUUUUAUCCAUUAGAAAAUUUAUUAUGGUUCAUGCUUCUAUUUCUUGGUUCCAGAUUUUGCUAACUAGAUCAAGGAACAUUUCUCCCCUUAUCUAGCUUAUUUCAAGUUAUGCAUGUGUGAGGGCUGACCAGUAGUUACUAGUUAAGAACAGGUUGUCAUUCUUCGCAGGGCAUAUAGAGUGGUAUAAGAGCAUAGUACCCUCCCAUUCUCACGUUUACAUUGAAGGGGAUAACUGAAUUCAUGACAUAUCAUCCCCUCUGUGCCCUAGUCUGGUUAAAUUUUUUCCCACAUAAGCUACUCUGUUUACUUGUCACCCUGAUAAUAGGCACUGAAUAUCUGCUAUGUUCAACCCACUUAACCACAUUAGUGUUACCAUGUUGGAUAGAUGUGAUGUUUUGAAGUCAUACAUAUUAUCAGUUGCAUUACUUCACAUACUGUUAUAACCACUUCUGCUAUUCAGGGAUAAGGCCUACUUUGUGGAUCUCUUUGUAAGAGCAUCUAACAUGCCAGCGAUAAGGAUGUACGAAAAGGUAAUAGUGUUUAUAAAUUUCAGGAUCUGCCAAUACUCCAUUCUGCUCCUCUGAACAGAACUUUUUAAUAUUCAUCAAUGUCAACCAGUGAAACCAAGUUUUUGAUUAAACAUUAGUUUGGUGAGUGAACUUGCCUAAUUAUACUCCUUUUUUUCCAUAGCUUGGUUAUGUGGUUUAUCGAAGGGUGCUCCGGUACUACUCAGGGGAAGAAGAUGGCCUUGGUAAGCAUUUGCAGUGCAAAAUCUCAAGGCAUACAUAUUCCAAAUUUGUUGCUUAUUAUGCCUGUAUAUGUUUUUGCUCCAGAUAUGAGAAAAGCAUUAUCACAAGAUGUUGAGAAGAAGUCCAUCAUACCACUCAAGAGGCCAAUUACGCCUGAUGAACUUGAAUAUGAUUGAUGUUAAAACUUUACUACCUGGUGCUUACGUUGAAAGCUCAGUGUGGAAUUUAACAGGCUUUGAAUAUCUGGUAGUUUCAUUAGUUGUGACUAUUGUUCUCCUUUUCGUACCUGUUAGGGGACAGAGGUUUCCGAGGUGAAUUCUGCAGUUUUUGUAUUUGAGAAUAGCAAGAACUAUGUCUUGGCAUGGAAUCAAAUUUCUUUGUUCUGAGGUCGCACCCAUUUUUAUCUCGUGAUUCUAUUUGCUGUGUAGUGUGUUUUUAUACAACUUGCACACUAUAGUACAAGUUAUUCAUCAAUGUUCUGCAAUAUACUUGACCCGUGCUAAGCGGUAAUAGCUAGAGUUUAACUUUAAAAGUGACCUCAUUCCAAAAACAUUACCCUGUUCAAUGGUGGUAAAGUAGAAGGUGAGGGAGAUGAGACCAAACGUUGCUUUUGAUGCAAGCAGCGAUACAUUGAGCAAGAGAUCAUGUGCGUGAUAUGUUGGUACUCAGGUGCGGGAAAGACUGCCGGUGGUGGCAUAAAACGGUUAGUGGAAGUUUCAGGUCUCACUCUAAGGAUGUACGAGGUUAGAUUUGCAAACUCAGGGCACACAUCAAAUCUCAUGGUACAUGCAUGAAACAUUAAAUAUAGAUAAAAAAUAACCCAUUGCACAGUUUGCGAGACAAAUUUUUUGAGCCUAGUUAGUUCAUAAUUGGAUAAUAUUUAUCAAAUACAAACGAAAAUGCUAUAGUGUCUAUUUUGCAAAAAGUUUUGCAACUAAACAAGGCCUAGAAGGUUCAUUCAAAAUUAGAAAUUUCGGAGUAUCCGAUGCUUCAAUUUAUUUGGAUACUGGAGUUUCAAACAAAAUUAAAAAAAAAAUCAGAGCAUUCGGUGCUUCGUUUGCUUCAAAAUUCUUAUCCAAAUUUGGCCAGUCAAGUUUUCUUAAAGAGAUGCUUAAAUUAGGUGGCCAGUAAAAAUAAUAGAUACAAAAGGCAAUUUAUACAGAGAUCCUUCGUGAAGCUAAGCUGAAAUCAUUUAGCAAAGGAUGAUGAAUUUUACACCCUCCACAAUCAGCCUGUUUUAUUAGUAACCAAAACAAUUUGAACUAAGCGAGGGAUCUCAGAAACAAGACGGGUCAUUAUUUGUAUAUGAGGGCGUCACGUCCAGGCCCGACACCAAUGUAGUGGACUGGAAUGCCGACCAGUUCCUCUAUCCUCUCCACAUAGCGACGAGCAGUUUCUGGGAGAUCACUGUAGUCUCGUAUUGAGGAAAUGUCUUCCUCCCAUCCAGGUAGGGCCUCAUAUUUGACCUACACAACCAGAGACCACAGGAAUUGUUGUCAAGAGAAACAAUACCCAAAUUAAGUGCCAUGCCAGAGACCGCUUUGGUUUCGUUGCAUAUAGAGUUAUACCAAUGAAACACAACUCAGUAAAACAGGAUAGACUGUUUCGAGCCUUACCUUUAUUUGCUCUAGAAGAUCAAGAUCUGCUGGGAAUGAUUGAACAGUGUUACCGUCAUCAGUGUAGUAUGAGGUACCCAGCUUAAUUUCCUUGAGUCCAGUUAAGACAUCGAGUUUUGUGAGAUUCAAAGAUGAGAAACCAUUGAUUUGGCAACAGUAUUUAAGUGCAACUAUAUCAAGCCAGCCACAACGCCUAGGACGACCUGUUGUAGUACCAAAUUCCAUUCCAGAAGCACGAAGCAAAUCACCAGUCUUACCCAAUAGUUCUGUUGGGAAAGGACCGGAUCCAACCCUAGUUGUGUAGGCUUUUACCUGGACAUAAAAACAUUACGUUCAGGAAGAAUGGGACGUAAGAAGUUUUAAGCAGUUUAAGUAAUUGAGCGUACCACUCCAAUGAUAUCACCGAGACUUCUGGGAGCAAUACCAAGCCCAGUACAGAUUCCACCAGCUGAGGGACUUGAGGAAGUAACAAAGGGGUAGGUCCCAAAGUCUAUGUCUAACAUGGUAGCUUGACCACCUUCAACCAAUAUUUUCUUCUUCUGCAAAAUCGACUGGUUCAUGAAAUGCACGGUAUCAGUGAUAAAAGGUUCCAAUCGUUCAGCAAACCUUUUAUACUUCUCAACUUCCUCUUUGAGAAUCUUGCUAUUGUAUUCAAAAUCUUUGAAGCGUAGAGCUGCAUCUCUUAGUAGGUUGUUGAGUUUUGCACCAAAGGUAUCCAUAUGUCGCAGAUCACUAAUUCUGAGUCCAUUCCUUGUAACCUUGUUUGAAUAGCAUGGUCCAAUUCCUCUCUUUGUUGUCCCUAUAAGGGAAUUCCCAAGCUCUACCUCUCUAAGACCAUCAACAACUUGAUGAAGAUCAAACAAAAGAUGGGCACGAUCUGAUACCAAAAGCCUUCCCUUGCAAGAAAUUCCAUUAGACUCUAGCCCAUCAAUUUCCUUAAAGAAUCCAGGAAGAUGAACAACUACUCCAUUACCAAUCACACACUGAGUGUUUUCAUUAAGGAUGCCUGACGGAACAAGAUGAAGUGCAAACUUCUUCCCUUCAGAAUUGUAUAUGGUAUGCCCAGCAUUAGCUCCACCCUAAGAACAUAAACAACCCUACAAGUUAAAGGGGGAAAACAGGUUGUGCAUCAAAAAAAAAAAUCUCGUGUAUCAAAUCUUAUUGCAAACAGUAGGUCCUGGUACUACUGUCACCAACUCUUUCAGAGGAAGGGUCAACUUAAACUAACAGAUCCUCAAAUAACCACAUAGAACAGCAGAAGAAAUAGUAAGUUGAGUGGACUCUGCACAGGCAAUGUUAUUCACAAGGAAACACGAAUGCAUGAUCAUAUGUAAGGAGCUACACAUGUUAGUAGCUGGCGUUCUUAGUAGUGGUUGCUUGGUAGUGAAUUGCUAUAGAGGAUGAAAUGUUGUUAUUGCAAAGGUUAAGUCAUAUGAUCCCAUUUUUAUUAAUAGGACAUGCCAUCAAAAAUAUGUACACCGUUGAGUACAGCAUAAGUGGGAAGUAACAUAAAACUUUGGCUUCCACAGAAACCAUAUUGAUGUUUCACUACCCAUAACUGUUCUUCUGCUUGUUGAAGAACAGAGGAACACAAAGGCUAUGUUGAGAAAAUGCAGCGUUUUCAAGUCCAUAAUCAUUGUGGUUUAGAAGUCAAUAGCAUGACUGAGAAAAAGAAAAGUUACAUAAAGAAGAGUGAUGCAGUGCAAUGCAAAUCAUAUACAAGAACUGGUAAGAAACAGCAGUAAUGAAUUUUAAUAAACUGUUAGUCUUCUACUAAAAACCGUGGCAGCCUGUUGUUUGUUCUAUACAAUCCCAUGACUCAGACGUUCAUGAACAGGCACCUCACAUAUUUUACCUGAACUGGCCACGUUACUGAAUAUUGUUAAAAUUAUCAUGACGCCAUCACGGGACAAUAUUUCACACAAUUCAAGAGAACUGGGGACUGACUACUGAGGAUAAAAAACACCCAAGCUUGGGGGGUAUGAUUUAUCCUUAAGAAGCACGACUCACCAACUUGUGAUCAAACUACCUUGACAUGUGCUUUGGAUGGUUUACAGAUAAUUGCAUGACAAUAUUUAAGUAGUAACUACUCAGUACCGAACAGGUUUCCGCAGAUGAAGAGCCUCUAAAAAAGCUUUUGUGGAGACUUAACAAAGUUCCUGGAGUAGCUAAUAUCUAGCCACCUCCAUGGAAUGAUGGAAGUACUACAGCGAUCGCGAUGAUGGCAUUGUUCACGACAAGGGACUGCGCCAAAUGCAAAGAAGAUAGAAGAAAGCGGAUCGAGAAUGUUAAAAAAAAUGGUGAAAGACAUUCUACAGCAAACAAGUUUAUAUCAAGGUUAUAAACUCCUCUGACGCGUACAUGAACCCUGAAACUAACUUAUAACCCAGCGCAAUGCAAUUCAUCGAACACCAGCACGCCAACGAACAGUAACAGCGCGGCGGCGAGCGAGCAUUGCGUCUUCGCGAGAGGCGCGCGCGUGCGAGAGAGACCUGGCACCGAGCGACGACGUCGAAGCGCUGGGCGAGGAUGUCGACGAGUUUUCCCUUUCCCUCGUCGCCCCACUGCGUGCCCAGCACCCCGGCCACCUGGCUCAGCGACUCCAGCCGGCCGCGCGCGGCCGCAGAGGGCUCAUCCGUGGUAGCGGGUGCCACGGGAGCCGCCCUCAGCGGCCGACAUAGGCGCGGUGCAGGCCCCGGGACCGGGAGGACGCGUCCGCUCCAGCCGGCGGCGGGGCGGAUGAGAGGGAAGGGGGCGGGGUCCAGCGACAGAGAAGCUAGCGGCAUGGCGUGGCUUUGGCGCCGCGCGCGGGUGGAGGGAGAAGGGGUAAGGGAAGGAGGCGGCGGCUGAGUGGCUGUUAGGUGGGCCUCAUGUAGUGCCUGCGUUGGACUGAGGUGCAAGUGUGUGGUAUGUUCUUCAAAAAUCAUUUGUUACCAGGACCGCACUCAAAGUUUGAUUCGCUCAAUAAUUGACAUCGCGCAUUCCUUUUUAUUUGACUAUAGGAUUGUGUCUGUGCUUUAUUACGGGCAAAACAAAUAUAGAAUCCCAUCAAUAUGAAGAGAUUUUUCUCUUCAAAUGUUAAGCUAGUCUUAAUUUCUUUUUUCAAGGAUUAAGCAGAAGAAAAAGUUUUGUUACAAAGUAUCAGGAUUACAAUAAACUGAAGAUUACAAAACUCACCGUUCUCGCCCUCAGACAACUCACACGUGGUUGUGAUUACAUAAUACCAAAUUUAUAACCACAAUAGCAAACACCUCAAACUGAACGACGGUGUGAGUCAAGCAUCCCUAGAUGCUUGAACCCAGCGGCACACCACAUGGUGACCUCUAGCUUAAUGAUCUUAAGCAACUGUACCGGUGAUGAGAUAAUUUUGUUGAAGGUCCUCACGUUCCUCUCUUUCCAUAGUAGCCAACUGACUGAACGAAAAGGCAGUCAAAACCACAACGAAUUUCUUUGAGUAGCCAUCUCCUUGAACUAGUCCACCAAAGCAUUAUGUCUUCCUCAUGGACACCACUAGCUCAUGGAGAAGGAACCUCUCCAACAUGAUGCCCAAACCUCUCUACUAAAAACGCAAGCGGGUCUUAAUUUAUAAAAAAAUAUUUUAUGAAAUAUAUGUUCAAUAUCUAUAUAACAUCAUAAAUUUUCAAUGCAUACAGCAGCAAUAAAAACACAUAUAAAUAUCUUAAGUGAGACCGUGUUUAGCACAACUCAGUUUCAUCAUUGAUUUUUAUUUUUUAUUUAUUUUAUUUUUUUGCUUCAGCUCUACGAGUAGCCCUCUAAUAGAGCUGAAGUUAUUUUAUUAGAUCGGUUGACAAACAGCUCAUUAUGGUAGACGAAAAGAAUUCAUUAAUUAGACCUUUACAUACUAGGCCCAUAUGUGCAGCUAGAAAAGACUACUAUUUUCAGUUUGAUUCUAACCCAUUCACAUGUCAGAGCUGGUUUUCUAGAGCUUCAUGAGUAAAGUUAUUUUUAAAAUACAUGCUUGGUACAAAACAACUUUGAAUAGCUUAUGAAGUUGGUGAAGAAGCUAUGCUGAAUAGGUGUUCUUGUCCUUCGCUGUUUGUACGUUCAAGAAGUGUGGAAGCUUGUCUCGGAACAAGAUGAGGAGUUUAAUGUGGGUUAACAAAUUCUUCAAUCAAAUCUUGACACCAAAGUUGAAUGCUGGGAAGUUGCCACGAGGACCAUAACCAAAGACAAAAAAAAAACGCAUUUUCAAUGGAGUAUAUUAAUAAUAUAGUAUCGGUGAUCGAAACGUCUAGAAAGAGUGAAAUAGAGGAAUCUCCAACAAUAAGCUCCAAACGGCGCAACAGCUCGUUGCUAAAAUUAUGGAGGAUUUAAUGGUUGAGAAGGAAGUCAUUUGCUCAGGUUUUGUAAAGGCUUUGUUUUUAGGUGUAUUUUGGCUCUUGGGCUUUCUGUUCCCAUUUGCUAGGAGAGUCUAUCAUGUACUCUUUUUAACACUCCUGCAAUUAACUCUUUAUUUCCUUCUUAAAUGAAAAAAUGAGCUUCUACCAUUACGCUUAAAAAUAACUGAAAAGCGGAUAUAAUAAAAGAGAAUAAAAGUCCAAAUUGUGGGUUAACUAGCAGGAAAAGAGAUUGCACGUGCCGAGUGCACAAAAAAGAGGCAGACUAUCUCUCUAAACAAUUUACAAUAAAAAAAUUGAGUAUUACUGCUGUCCCAAUUCAAACUAUCUAUGGUGUAUGUAUUAGGUGUUAAAAAUAUUGGGUCGUGCACAAAGGGAACAUCGACAUUGGGUGGUGCAGGAGUACAGGAUCUCCUCUAAGUCCAGCCGGCGCGACAUGUUCGCCUUUUAGAGCUGAAAAAAUCGGAACGGAUCGAGAGAGCGAGGGUACGUUAGUACGUGGCUACGGAGUAAGAGCCAAAACCCUCAGGCCGUUUUACUUUUACCCGGAUCCCUGCUGCCCUCGCCGCCGCCGCUCUGCCGCCGGCAUGGCUGCUCGUGCUCUGCCUGAGUCGGUCCACCACACCGCCUGCGAUGAGCUCCAGAAGGACGAUCGGAAGGAAGAGAAGGGAAAGCGGAAGCGGGAGCGGGAAGAGGACAUUGGGAUGGAGGCAACGGGGAAGGAGAAGAUGGAGGGGAUGGGGAAGAAGAAGGAGAAGAAUGGGGAAGAAAAGCUGAAGAAGGGCAAGGGAGGCGGGAUUCUGACCAACAGGCUUUUCUCAGAGCUCUGCAUCUCGGAGCUCACUGCCAAGGCCAUCAGAGAGAUGAACUACACCCACCUCACCAAGGUGAUGCUCCUCCCACUCGCCAAAAUUCUACCAUACUUCUUCUUCUUGGCAAGACACACAUGAUUCUGUUCUCGGUCGACAGUUGCAUGCGGUUGAAUGUGUAUUGCUUAUGUUGAUUGCGUAAUGUGUGACUCGAUCCUCUGCUUUCUGCUGCGCUGCUGGAUUUUAGUAUUGAUGUAAUGCAACAAUAACAAUGACAUGCAUGCAUGGUUGUUUAAUUUUCAUGAUGGUUGCAGAUUCAAGCUAGAUCAAUACCGCAUCUGAUGGAAGGAAGUGAUGUGAUGGGUUCAGCAAAGACUGGCUCAGGGAAGACCCUUGCUUUCCUUAUACCAGCCAUUGAGCUGCUCCACAGAUCGCACUUCUUGCCGAGGAACGGAACUGGAGUUGUGGUGGUUUGCCCAACGAGGGAGCUUGCUAUCCAGGUUUAGGCAUGACACAGCAAUAUUUAUCUUUUGAUUGAUUUUACAUGCUUUAUUUAUGACUGUUCUGAAACUUGCUGCGAGCGAAACGAUCAAAAUUGGAUGUCUCAACUGAGCUAAGGUUAAGUUAUCCUUUAAUCACAUAUAUAAUGCUGUGUGUGUAAAUAUAAUACACAAAGCUGUUCAUUUUACAGUAUUUGAUUUGAAGAUUAAGCUAUGCGAAUUUCUUUUCACGUUGCUAUAUAUUACCAAAUUUUAUCACCACAGUUGUUAAGCUUCAGAAGGUAGUUUUCUAUAGUAUAUAUAUGUGAAUGUUGGUGGUUGCUGAGACUAUUCACUCGUAGGGGCUCACACUUGACAGUUGACACUUUGCUAUCCUUAAUUAUGUGUUUUGUCAAUUCAUUUGUGCUAGACACACAAUGUUGCCAAGGAAUUAAUGAAGUAUCACUCGCAAACUCUUGGAUAUGUAAUUGGUGGCACUAAUAUGAGAAGUGAGGCUAACCAGCUCGCAGAAGGGAUCAAUGUCUUAGUUGCCACACCGGGCAUGCUUCUGGACCAUCUGCGAAGUACCAGCAGUUUCAAAUACAAAGAGCUAAAGGUACAUGUACUUAAAUUGUCACAUUAGAUAAAAAAUACAACCAGAAAUUUCAUGCUUAUCUAUUUGCAUGAUCAGCUACCUGAUUGUUUUUAUAUGAAAUCUUUGUAUACAUCUACCUUACGCUUGUCCUUGACUGGAACUAUUAAUGCUGAACUAUAUAUCAAAUUGCAGCAUACAUUAUGCCCAAAAUUGUAGAAGGCAAAUUAUUAUAGAACCAUAUUAUUGUUAUAUUAGCUCGACUAUAUGUUUUGUCUUUGUUUGCUAUUAGUUGCAGCAAAUUUUUGCUUGACAAAAGCCAAGUGGAAUUGGAUAUAAUGUUAUUUUGUUGUUCUGUAACCAAAACUGAUAAGUAUGGGUACAAGUAUUGGAUUUGUAGCUAAAAGUUAUUUUUCGUAACCGUCCUUAAAACCAAAUUAAUUCUGUUCUCCAAUUAAAUUGAUAUAUAAUUGCAUUGUAAAUAUAUUGUCCAGCGGGGAUGGAAUCAAUCUUUGCCCACUCAUACCUCGGUCCAGAGAAUACUAAAGCCAAUUAAUUUUGUGCUGGGCUGCCCAUGGAGAAGGCCAAGUCUUGUUUACUGGCUCAUGUAAUAUGGGUCCCUAUUUGGCAGGAAAAAUGGCAUUGAAUUUCUUGGAAAAGAAAAGCAUGAAAAUUUGCUGUUAAGCCAGUGAAUACCAUGACUGACUACUAUCCCCCUCCAUUUUUCUCUGGCAUAACUCAUCAUAUGUUGCAGUGCCUUAUAAUUGAUGAAGCUGAUCGGAUACUUGAGCAAAAUUUCGAGGAGGAUAUGAAACAAAUAUUUAAACGCCUCCCUCGGGUAUGUGACCAUCUGGGAAUUUCGUUUCAUACGCACAUUGUAGCCAUUAAAAUUUCUACUGUCUGAGACUACUAUGUUUUGUCCUGGAAUUAUUAUGAAUCAUAUGCAGGAUAGACAAACUGUUCUUUUUUCUGCUACACAGACUCAAAAGGUUAGUUAUUCAGCCUAUCCAAACUUUUCCUUAAUUUUCCCUGUUGCUGUAAAUGUUUAUGUGUUGUAAAUUGUAAUCCCACAGGUUCAAGAUUUUGCGAAUUUUACAUUUGGGAAAAAUGAAGAAAGACAACGGAAACUUGUUUAUGUUGGAGUUGAUGAUUCUGAAUUAAAGGUAUGGAACUGUUUCACUACGCUGUUCAUAUCGCUUUGAAACAUAGAUAUAACUUGAUGCUCUGGCAGCCUACUGUUGAGGGCUUGCAGCAGGCCUACUGUGUCAUUCCAAGCGAGAAAAGGUUUCUUGUUCUCUACACUUUCCUAAGAUUGAAAGUUCACAAGGAGCAGAUGGUGGAGGUCCUAAGAGGGGAAGUGGGUGAGGAGCAGAAGGUGAAGAUCAUGGUGUUCUUUUCAUCAUGUAGCUCAGUCAAAUUCCAUGCAGAACUUCUAAAUUUCCUCGGGAUAGAGUGUUACGAGAUCCAUGGGCAACUGAAGCAGCAGAAACGAACUAGUACAUUCUUCCGAUUCCUGAAGGAAGAAAAGGGAAUCUUAUUAUGCCCUAAUGUGGCAGCACGUGGGCUUGAUAUUCCUGAUGUGGUUAGUUUAAACCAUUCAUACCACUCCUUUCUACGUAUAUAGUAUAUGUAUAUCCCAGUACUAAUGUAAGGAUCUGGUGCCUUGCUUAGGACUAUUUGUGCAAUAUGAUCCUCCAGAUGACCCAAAGGUCAGUGCUUCUAAACUGUGCAAAAGAAAUUAUGCAUUUCUCAAUUUUGCUAAGUUUGACAUUGGAAUUUAAUUUGUAGGAUUACAUUCACAGAGUUGGUCGUACUGCCCGAGGUGAUAAAGGCAAAGGAAAGGCAUUACUGUUCUUACUACCGGAAGAACUAAAGUUGCUCAUACACCUGCAGGUAAUUAAUGUUACAGUGACAUAAUCUAUGUCUCCACUUAUUAAGAUGAAACUUGAUAUGUGUGUAUAACUGUAUAUAUCAGUAUAUAUGCAGUACUAUUUUGACAUUGUAUAUAGUCUAAAUACAAAGUAAGUGGUGUGAAAGUACUUUGAAAUAUGAAUGUUGUAUAAUCUUAUAUGGUAAGCAUUUUUUACGAUUUGACUAGUCCAGUAACAUGCAAGCUCUACAUAUUUGGUCAGAGGGACUAACACAUUUAGUUUUUGCUUACAGGCAGCCAAUAUUUGCCUUACUGAAUAUGUGUUCAGGGAAAAGCAUGUGCCAAAAUCGCUAUCACAACUUGUGAGUCUCUUUCUCAACUCAAUCCUGUUGUAUCAAUUUGUUGUAUUAUAAUGGAGUUUUGGAGCAGGAGAAUAUUGUUACUGGGAAUUACUUUCUAAACAAGUCUGCAAAGGAAGCCUACAGGUCCUACCUUCUGGCAUACAACUCACACUCUAUGAAAGACAUUUUUGAUAUCCAUCAACUUGAUCUCAAGGUAAAUAUUUAUGUCGUUCUUUCUCAAUGUUCUGUUGUUGGUUUCUGCUCAUUUUUAUUGGCUCAGCAUUUUUGCUUCAAGUUUACAAAGUAGAAGCACAUUUGUUGUCUCCUUAAAUUUAGUGGGAGCCUAGCUUAUCCCUUGAAAGUUUCAAGGUAGCUAAAGACCAAUGAAAAAUACCAAUUGCUGAUAUUUCACUAUGUUUGAUAUGUCUAAUUCAUUGUUGUAUUUCAGAAAGUGGCGGCAUCAUUCUGUUUUAAGGAGCCUCCUAAAGUGAAUUUGAACCUGGAGAGCAGUGCGUCAAAACAUCGAAAGAUGAGGAAAGUGUACGGUGGACAGAGCCAUGGAAUUGGCCCUUCAAACCCCUAUGGAAGGAGAGGCGGAUAUGGUCGCAGCAAAUUUGCAAGAUUCUAAAAGGACAUCAUCUGGGAAAUCAGAUGCUGGAAGCCCCCAUCUUUUAUUUUUUUAUGCUAUAGAUCUCUAAACAUUACUUUUAGGCAGUGUUUGGUUCUCUCUGUAAUGGUAGCAGAAAGUCACGGUAAUGCAAUCCGACAGGGCGAAUACAGGAUUUGUUUCAGAGGACCCGUAUCAGUAUUUUUCUAAGACCAAAGACAGCUCGUCAUAUGUUCUCUGAAUUUUUGUGGCGCCCAAUAAUUCAUCCUGCUGCCUUGUUCACUUGAGCUUAUUAGUGGAAUAACCACGAAUCAACCAGCUAUUCAGCAAUGUUUUUCUCUCAAAAAAAAAUCAGCCAACAGAAAACUUUGAAUAGGACAAUUUUGCCCAUCUCUAUACUUUAUACUCUCUCUUCAUCAAUUCCUAGAGUUAUCUAAGUCAAAUUUUUUAAAUUUUAACCAAAAUUCUAUAAAAAAUACUAAAAAUUAUAGUACCAAAUUAGUACCAUUAGACUUAUUAUAAAAUAUAUUUUCAUAAAAUACUCAUUUUAUGUCAUAGAUAAGUUUGACUUGUAUGGAUUCUAGAAAUUGAAGCUUUAAGAGAUAGAAGUAUUUAAGCUUUUAAUGAAAAUUACCCUUUUUAAAAAAAAAGUACAUGAGAAAAACGUUGUACACAGAAACCGUCAAAAUAAUUCUUGUACCUUUUCUAUAUAAAAAAGACAAGCAAUAUAUCCAGGCAAAAAUAAUAAUAACGACUCUAAAUGCUUAAUACAUAGGAGAUCAAAAUUUAUCUGUUCAAGUUUCCUGAUACACAAUAAUAACGACGGAUCAAAACUUUUCCAAUUCAAGUUUCCUGGUACAUAUUCCUUAAGCUCAUCUUCAGCAUACAUAGGAGAGAUAUCAAAAUACAACCACUCAUAACAGGGACUUGGCACGAAGAUGAUCAUGGCAACAUUCUACUAGAGAUGCCACACCAAUGCUAUGAAGCGAACUCUGAGCAUCAGUGCCGCUUCUUGGAAGAAGCACUAGAAUCCGCAUUCUUUUUCCUCUUCUUAAGUAGCUCAAUUUUCUCUUUUUUCUUUUCUUUGCCCAUCUGUGUUCACAAAGAAACAGGACAGUCAUAACAGGCAUCCAAAACAGAUGUUAAUUAUAAUUUGAGAAAAUAGAGAAAGGCAAUAAGAAGCAAGACAAAUCAAAGACUACGAAACUAUUAUAGAACUGUCAACUAAUUACUGAAAAAAUGCCUGUGAAGGUAGAUACUAUCAAAGAGGGAACUCAGAAGUCAACAAGAAAAGCUGUUACUAAUAUCAAUCUAACACUAGACCCUUUUUAACAGGAACGGAAGUUAUUUCCAUAGAGAGCAUUACCAGGACUUGUAACCAUAUUCACAUUAAAAACCAAUAGUGCAUACAGGUAUACAGCAAGAGAGAGUACACAUACCUUCAUAGCUUUAUAAAGGCCUUGCUGCUUGCGAGACAUGAGAGCAGUACCAAUGUCAUCAUCAUCCUUCUCCUCUUGUUUAAUGGCAUCCGCCUCGUGAUCUGACUGAGUAUCAUCUUUGGCAUCUGGUGAUUUAUUUGCUUCCUUAUUUGACAGACUAGAGAAAGCAACACCGUCAAUUUCCAUCUUCAGUUCAUCAUGGUAUUGCUUCUCUAGCAUCUCCAACUAGGGAAAAAGAAAAGACAUGCCGAGAUCAUUACACAAAAUGCAUUCAAUACAAGGAAAAAAGAAGCAUUGCAUACCAUGAUACCACUUAAACUGAAAAGAAACACUACCCACCUUCCUCUUCUUUUCAGCAGCUUCGUUAGAUUCUGUUCGAUCCAUCAUUGCUGCUACCAAUGAAUUGUCUAGAUCUUCAUCACCAAUACCAGGAAGAGGCAAGACCUCAUUGCGAGCAGCAGCUUGCAGCCUCUUUAUUGUUUCUGCAUACUCAGGAAUGUAGCCCUCUGCAUCAUUGUCCACAAAAGGAGACAAAUGUGGUGGAGGUACUCUGCAACAUGAAAAAUAAAAUGUCAUAUACUAGCCUACAAAUUAUUAGUUUUCUUUAUUAUUAUUGCAGUGUGUCAGUGGUGAAAAUUAACUCAAUAUUGUAGCAGCAACAUGUGGUAUAGUUGUAGCAGAACCAAGAAAUUAGUAGCAGUGCUAGCAAAUAGUAAGUAAUAGGCUAAGAGUGCAGCUAGAAAGUUCUAUCAGUAGCAAAUGGAGAGCAACUGGCAAUCUGGGCAUAUGCACCAAAGGAGUGCAGAACUUAGCAAAUUUGUAAUCAUGCCUCAUGCAUCAUAUUAAAUAUACAUUGUCACCAAACAGAUUAUACAGCAUAAGCAAUUACAAUAGCAUAUCUGACAGAAUCCACAUAUGGUGCAAUGGUGAAGUCGCAGUUAUCACAAUCCCCAUGUGACAUACCUUCCAACAAGAUAACCUUCUGUUGGCAAUAUGAUACGAGCGUUUACACAAUCAAAGACCCACUGCGGUUGAACAUACUCCCUGGAGAGGAAAACAUGGCUUUGUGUCGGCCUAUCAACAAUCUGCAUUAUAACAGAAGUGGUAGGUUAAGUAAACUGAGAUGCAACUCAAAGAAACCUAACAAACAAACAAACAUAAAACAACCUUCUAUCAAUGUGGGAAAAAGAAACUCAAUGUAGACAAACGAAACAGUUGUAACAGACAACAGAUAUUCUACUAGGGCAAACACAUGAUAGUGUAUUGGCUUAGAAGGGGGUAACACCAUCACUGAUGAUCCACGCCCCACGUCAGCAAGUCAGUCUCAGCGCAGGCAACGAGUGUGGUAUUGUCACUGUGAAUCAUGUAUCUGUUCAAAGGCAUAUCAUGGACUCUUCAAAAUAGAAGGAUGUAUAGCGUGAGGAUGUGAUAUCAUACUCCUAUUUUUUAUUACAAUAUGAAUACUAGCAAGCAUAAAGAAACUUACACUGACCAUUUGAUUUUACUUCACUUGUGCACUUUUCAUUGAUCACCUUUUAUGUUUACGAAUUACGAGAUAUGAUGGUUCCAAGUGUAAUCUGAACAGGUAGCACAUACAAAAAUUGUAUUGCAGUAAUUAUUGCUCCUAGUAUGGCAUUGCUGCUGUUGUACUUUAGCAUGGCGUCUUACUUUAGAGAUGGUACAUCAAUCUCUCCGUCUAUAUAGUUAAACUUUGGAGUAAUUAUUGCAAAUGGAAUCAACCUGGUGGGUGAUAUCUUCAUCUACUUCUUUAAAUGGAGCUCCUUCUCCUUCCCAUGAAACAGUCCCUCCAAAUGCUGGGAUAAUAAAUAAUAGAGACUCCCUAGGCACCUGAAAGUGCACAUAAAGGAUUAGAAAAAUUGGAAAGAUAUUCAAAUCAGAAAUCAAUUGAUCUGCAACCCCAAAAUAGGCUUGCAGUAAUGACAAAUUCCAAUAGCCUACCUCCCGACUCAGGUAGAACUUUAAGUUCUUAAAUAAACCUUUACAUUCUUUAGUAUCGUCAUCAUCUGCAUCAUCAGCAGUUGAUUCUUCUACAAGAUUCAUCAGUGCACCAGGUUCAUUAGUUGGGAGCUGAUGUUGAAGCUGUGCUAAUCUGAGCUCAGAUUCAUCUGCUUUUGAGCUUGCUUUAUUCUUCACAUCCUUCUCUUCCUCAGUUAUUCCAUCAGCUUUACUCUUCUCAUCCUUAUCCUCCAUUACUUCGUCAGAUUGUGAAUUCCCAAUCAUUCUUCUGGAACCAGCAGACAUGUAUCGGCACAAUGCAUAGAGCUCUGGCACCACGCAACAUGAUGUCAGAAAAGGAGUCCACAUAAAAUUAGAAAACAGAGAAAAAAUAAUAUGGCAGUGUAUACAUCCAAGAAAAUGGACAGAGGUGAUUAAAUAAUAAAUAAUAAUAAGCACCAGAACAUACCAGCAGCUAAAGCUUCCAGACGUGGAUCCAGAAUAGGAGGAUAAUUUACAUUUAUUGAAUGAUAGAGCUUGAAGUUCACAAAUCCUAAAAGAGUCUGCAGGCACAACAGGCUCAGUCAAAAGGUUGAAACAAACAUCACAAAUCGCACUCUUGAACUUUCUAAGAGAGCAUUCAUGAAAAUGUGAACAUAUACGAUGUCAAUAGCCAACUACUUGAAACGAAACUAUGCUCAUGGAUAGAUAACAAAAACCAUGUAAUACCGGUAUAUAGCUUCUAAAACACCGCAUCAGUUAUUGGCAUAAUAUGAUAUCUUGAUUGAAAAUGAAUUGCUCAGCAUCCCUACAAUGGAAAUGUAAGCACUACAAUAUCAUCGCUGUGUCUUGAUCAAUAACCUACAGGAUUCUCAGCCUUUGCAAUUACGGGUUAAAAGGACUAAAGGAGGCUUAUGCACCAAGGAAAACCACAGCACCCUUUUGUCUAUAAUAACAAGCCCAUCUUUGAUGAAAAACAAGACAAAUAACCAAUAAUCAGAAGUCAGAUAAAAUAUACUACCAUAUCAUUAGUCUUGGCCUCAAAUUUACUGACAGUUGAACAAAACAUGAAACACACAAGAACUAAGGAGCUCUCCAUAUUUGUUUACCUCAUAGAAUUCUAGAAAAGAGAGCAUCACAUUGAAAUCAACAUCAUCGGUUAAUACUUGCUGAAGAGCAUGAGGGGUUAGCCAGGUGAUCUUUUGUCCUUGAACUUCAGCCUGCAUUACGUGGCAUAAUCAUGAAUUUUGACCAUCAUGUAUGCAAUGACAGAUAAAAGAACCAUGGGAUACAUAAUUACCUGGAAAUAUAUGCCCUUGACGGAAAUAAAUGUCUUCCUCAGGGAAUGAGUUCGGGAUAUGUAUGCUUGCCAUUCAUGGCUUAACCUACAAACAAAACAUUUCAAAACACAUAAGAUUUGAAAUGACUUCAUCACAUGAGAAGAAAAUAAUAAAUAUCCUCUAUAAAAAAUAAAUGAUGAAAGCACACGCUUUUACAUUUAUAAAAUUGUGAUUUUACUUUGGAUGUGACUUGGUGAGGACCACAAAGUGCAAUCCACAGAUUACAUGCAAAUUUGAAGGUUACCAUGUAGGAUAUUAGAGAAACCUAUAGAAUUUUUGUGAUAAGCCAAAAUUCCAGGCACAAUAUAGCUGUACACAUAGUGACAGCAAAAAUAGGUAUUCAGAGCACAAUCACCUAGUGCACUUGGAAAGAACAUGAGUCUCAGGUCAAGAAAAAGACAUGGUAAUUUUAAACAAAGCAUACCUGCGGCAGUUAUGAAUUCGUUUGACUUCAACGCGUUCACCAUCAACAGCAGGUAAUGCCGCAAACAGAUGCACCAUUGUAAGGCAGUCAUCCAAGUCACGAAGAGCAUCAACAAAUGUUGGAUACCUGUUCGAUAAAGAAAAGAACAGUUGAUGCUGCAUAGAGAGAGUACUCGAUGAACUCAUGGAUAAUCAUGUUUGGUUCGCUUGAUACCUUUCAAGGACAAGCCUAUCAAGUUUGUAAGUUGGUGGCCGAUUCAACAGCCUGUCUGCGAGAUCCCUGUUUUUCUUAGCAACAGCCUUUUUAACCUUCCUUCGAUGGACCUUAAUCUCCCUGAAAUCAAAUGAAAUACGAAUACCAUCAAGGAAUUAAGCACAUUAAACAUAGAAAGUCAGAAUUCUUAGCAUUGUUUUACUGAGAUAAAAUGCAAUAGGAACUAUUCCUCAGGAAAAAUGUAGCAUUCUUAGGAACUAUUCCUCAGCUUUUAGUUCAUUUCCUCAGAAGCCAGAUUUCCAGCUUUACAAAAGCCAGCUCAAGAUCUAGGCUGUUUGUUUCAGCUUCUGGCGUUUGGCUGGGUGAAGCCAGCAAAAAACUGAAACAAACAGGCCCUUAGCAUGAUCUUGUUCACUUGUUCAUAUACUCUAAUCGCUCCUAGAGAAAACAAAUACAGUAUGGCAGUAGUGAAAUAAUUAAUUUUGCUGAUCACAUAGAGCACCUACACCAAGAUUUGUAUCAUAAACAACCGUCUCAUGAUAAUGCAGUCAGAUAUUCAUCGCCAACAAACAAGGAGCCAAGAGGCUACCACUAUUAGGGCCAGUAAGAAGCAGAAGCUGAAACAAACAGCAUGCUUCUGGAGCUUCUUUUGUGGAUUCUGAUAUGAUGUAAUGGUGAGCGCCAGUGAUAUUUCAUAUGUUAUACACUUCAUCAUACAGAAUUUUAAUCCAAAAUCAGCUUUUCCAAAGUGAACAAAAAAAGAUGCUCUUGAUUCAUGCAACCAAACAAAUUAUGGCUCAGGUUAACUAGCAUGAAUAAGAUGCUGUUCAGAUUGGCUAUUCAGCCAUUUAAUAGAUAAGUUCGUUAAAAAUGUUCUUAACCGUUCUAGAAAAAAAAAUGUCUGUUAAAUCUUGAUCCAUCUUUCUUUAGUUGGAAGUGAAUGUUGUUUAUCCUUUUUCUAGUUUUUUCAGGAAAAAAAACAACAGGUAAUGGUUUAGUUGAAGUUGAUUUAGUUCAGCCUAUAUUGUUAAAAGAAUAAAAAUCCAAACAAACCCUAAUACUGUUCCAUUACUUAACACACAUAAAAACCACUUUUCAAACUGAACAUACAUAUACAGAAGUAUUCAUGGAAUAUUGUAGUAUUCUCCAGGCCCUAAAUUGAGGGCGAAGGAAUUAGAGUGACCCCCU
rnacentral:lncRNA from 1 species